GCAAGUCGAACGAUUAAAGCUCCCUUCGGGGAGUGCAUAGAGUGGCGCACGGGUGAGUAACACGUAAGUAAUCUACCCUCGGGUGGGGAAUAACAUCGGGAAACCGAUGCUAAUACCGCAUAAUGCAGCGGCACCGCAAGGUGACAGUUGUUAAAGGAGCAAUCCGCCUGGGGAGGAGCUUGCGGCAGAUUAGCUUGUUGGUAAGGUAACGGCUUACCAAGGCUACGAUCUGUAUCCGGUCUAAGAGGACGGUCGGACACACUGACACUGAAUAACGGGUCAGACUCCUACGGGAGGCAGCAGUCGGGAAUUUUGGGCAAUGGGGGAAACCCUGACCCAGCAACGCCGCGUGAAGGAUGAAGUAUUUCGGUAUGUAAACUUCGAAAGAAUAGGAAGAAUUAAUGACGGUACUAUUUAUAAGGUCCGGCUAACUACGUGCCAGCAGCCGCGGUAAUACGUAGGGACCAAGCGUUGUUCGGAUUUACUGGGCGUAAAGGGCGCGUAGGCGGCGCGGUAAGUCACUUGUGAAAUCUCUGAGCUUAACUCANAACGGCCAAGUGAUACUGCAGUGCUAGAGUGUGGAAGGGGCAAUCGGAAUUCUUGGUGUAGCGGUGAAAUGCGUAGAUAUCAAGAGGAACACCUGAGGUGAAGACGGGUUGCUGGGCCAACACUGACGCUGAGGCGCGAAAGCCCGGGGAGCAAACGGGAUUAGAUACCCCGGUAGUCCUGGCCCUAAACGAUGAAUACUUGGUGUCUGGAGUUUUAAUGCUCCGGGUGCCGUCGCUAACGUUUUUAGUAUUCCGCC
rnacentral:rRNA from 1 species